GAUCCUGGCUCAGGAUGAACGCUGGCGGCGUGCUUAACACAUGCGAGUCGAGCGAAGCACUUUGCUUGGAUUUCUUCGGAAUGACGAGUAUUGUGACUGAGCGGCGGACGGGUGAGUAACGCGUGGGUAACCUGCCUCAUACAGGGGGAUAACAGUUAGAAAUGACUGCUAAUACCGCAUAAGACCACAGCACCGCAUGGUGCAGGGGUAAAAACUCCGGUGGUAUGAGAUGGACCCG
rnacentral:rRNA from 1 species